rnacentral:misc_RNA from 1 species
CCGUACAGCAGAGAUGCCCUAGGGCUGUUGCUGACCUUUGCAGGUCGUGCACGCCCGAAGUGCUCUCUCUCACAUCCAUCUCACCCCUUUGUGCAUCACCGCGUGGGCCGCCCCCUAUCGGGAUCGGUUCACGUUUUUACAUAGACACCUUUCUUUUAAUGCAUGUGUAGAAUGUCUUCCUUUUUUUUUUGCGAUCACACGCAAUCAAUA